UUUCGACACACUAUCAUUAACUGAAUCCAUAGGUUAAUGAGGCGAACCGGGGGAACUGAAACAUCUAAGUACCCCGAGGAAAAGAAAUCAACCGAGAUUCCCCCAGUAGCGGCGAGCGAACGGGGAGCAGCCCAGAGCCUGAAUCAGUGUGUGUGUUAGUGGAAGCGUCUGGAAAGGCGCGCGAUACAGGGUGACAGCCCCGUACACAAAAAUGCACAUGCUGUGAGCUCGAUGAGUAGGGCGGGACACGUGGUAUCCUGUCUGAAUAUGGGGGGACCAUCCUCCAAGGCUAAAUACUCCUGACUGACCGAUAGUGAACCAGUACCGUGAGGGAAAGGCGAAAAGAAC
rnacentral:rRNA from 1 species